ACGUAGCGAGACCACGAGGAGACCCCCGCGGCUGGGUUUGCGGCGGCUGGCGGGAGCUCGGGGUGAGGCGAUGGAUGGGUGGCUGGCGGGGCGAGUAAGAAAGAAGGGCGAAGAAAGGCUUGCUUGGUUCCCAAAUCCACAUCUAGGAGAUAACAAACGAAGUUGAGAAAACUAAAGGAUCGAAAUACUUCCAAGUUCAUCGGAUGGUCACGCCUGGCAGCUGAAGUCUUGCGCUGCUCACCUUGCCGGCCAGGUUGCUCGAUGUGCCUAAUGGUCCUGCGAUGCCAGUGGCGCUGUGGGAGGAGAUGGCAGCAGCACUGGAGUUCUUUUUCACUGAAGACUUCUGCAUCUGUUGCAAGAGCCUGCUAGAUAAUAAAGAGAGAAUAAAAUAAAUGACUGAACAUAUGAAAUGGAAAGUCCACAAAUGGAAAUGCAUUGUGAUAUUUGCUGCAAAUACAAUAAUUCUGCUGACUGAUCAAGCUGACAUGCUGGAAUGGGAGGGAAGUUAAAUUCAUUUGAACAAAACUCUGCCUUAAUGUGCAAACAACACUUCUGUAUACAAUCUUUUAUUAAGCCCUUAUAUUAAAUGUACAGUAAGUACCUGAUAUUUCUUCAGCUCCCUUUUAAGCUGAAGAAUUGUGAUAUGAUACGGUCCUUCUUGGUCGGCUACUGUUCCACCGUUUACCUGGGGAAUAGAUGCCUCUCUCCUAAUUCCCUGUGCUACAUGAAUCCAUUCUUGCAGUU